AUGUGAUAGUCAACUGGUUAGUGGAACGGAAUGGAAAGUCCGGCGAUAGAGGGUGAUAGCCCCGUACACGAAAACUGGUUGGUGGUACUGAGCAUACGACAAGUAGGGCGGGGCACGAGAAACCUUGUCUGAACAUGGGGGGACCAUCCUCCAAGGCUAAAUACUCGUAAUCGACCGAUAGUGAACCAGUACCGUGAGGGAAAGGCGAAAAGAACCCCGGGAGGGGAGUGAAAUAGAACCUGAAACCGUGUGCAUACAAACAGUGGGAGCGGACUUGUUCCGUGACUGCGUACCUUUUGUAUAAUGGGUCAGCGACUUACGUUCAGUAGCGAGCUUAACCGAGUAGGGGAGGCGUAGGGAAACCGAGUCCGAAUAGGGCGCAUAGUUGCUGGGCGUAGACCCGAAACCAAGUGAUCUAUCCAUGGCCAGGUUGAAGGUGCCGUAACAGGUACUGGAGGACCGAACCCACUAGUGUUGCAAAACUAGGGGAUGAGCUGUGGAUAGGGGGUGAAAGGCUAAACAAACUUGGAAAUAGCUGGUUCUCUCCGAAAACUAUUUAGGUAGUGCCUCAC
rnacentral:rRNA from 1 species